UAGGGGUGUUCACUCAGUCGGUGGCGAUCAAGUUUCUCGUGUUCGUGCAUAUAAGGCAGUGUAGACUUGCCUGCCAGAUAGCAACUAUGUAAAUAUGUGAAAAAAAUAUUUAUCAACCUACGCCGAAUGUAUUUUUUCAGGGUGAGCUUUAUUUAUAUUGUAAGAUCGUCAACUAACACCAACUGCAUCUUUUCCUAUGCCCUGGUGCAAUGUUUACAAUCUAAAGGCCAUGGUCUUCUGGGCAUUGCGUCAGCAUUUGCAUGGAUUUUCCCCGCACGAUGUUCAACUGUAAACAUCCAGAAACCGUUGGUGUUGGUGUUGAAUCCAGAAACCUUGGCGGCCACCGAAUAUUUCAAUUAUCUGAAGUUCACAGAUUAU